UAAAACAGGGAUAUAGGCGAAUGUGUGCCUGCCUCUGGUAAUCUUCAAAGCGUGGUAGUGAGGUGUGAUGGGGAGAAAGAAUUAUCUUUGCUUUUACUCCAUUUCUAAGUGUUGUUUCCCUUGUUACAACUAUUAUAUAGCCCUUCUUUAAUUUGGAAGUGAUCCAGUCAAGAAAACAAAACACUCCCCCCCGAAUCAGGGUCAGCUGUUUUGGAGGUGAUGGGAACUGAGUUCUGCGAUGUUGCUGUCGCCAGUGCUGACUUGGACAGAGGAGCCCCUGGAGCCCCUGAGAGCCACACCUGGCCUCCAGGACACCGAACUCAUGGCCGCCUAGCACUCAGAUGACAGGGGAGCUGUGCCUUCUUGGCAGGCAGGACCCUGCCAACAGAUGUUCAGUGGAUGGGAUGCUUCUCCCUGCAACGUUGAGGGUGGUCCUUUUAACUCCAUCCAUCCAUUCGAAGGCCAGUCUCCUCCAGAAACACCCUCAACAGACACACCCCGAAAUACGUUUCGUCAGCUCUCUGGGCCUCCUUUAGCCCCAUCAAGUUAACCCAUCAUACCAACUAUCCCGAAUAACUGUGUGUGAAGGGUGAAAGUCCCAUGUCUCUGAAGCCAGUGGGUGUUCACAAGAGGAUUAUGGGAAGAGGGACAGAAGUGCCUGGAUGUACUGUUCAGAGCUGGCAGGACCCAGCCUCUAAAAGGAAGACUUAAAAUGAUGUUUUUGACAUCAACACUUUCCCCAAAGUUGAUGUAAGUCCUGGGGUUUUGGCAAAGGCCCACAGGCUACCUCUGACCUGUUGUCUCUUCUUUAAAAAAGAUUAUUUAUUACUUUA